GGGUUGUGAGGUUAAGCGACUAAGCGUACACGGUGGAUGCCCUGGCAGUCAGAGGCGAUGAAGGACGUGCUAAUCUGCGAUAAGCGUCGGUAAGGUGAUAUGAACCGUUAUAACCGGCGAUUUCCGAAUGGGGAAACCCAGUGUGUUUCGACACACUAUCAUUAACUGAAUCCAUAGGUUAAUGAGGCGAACCGGGGGAACUGAAACAUCUAAGUACCCCGAGGAAAAGAAAUCAACCGAGAUUCCCCCAGUAGCGGCGAGCGAACGGGGAGCAGCCCAGAGCCUGAAUCAGUGUGUGUGUUAGUGGAAGCGUCUGGAAAGGCGCGCGAUACAGGGUGACAGCCCCGUACACAAAAAUGCACAUGCUGUGAGCUCGAUGAGUAGGGCGGGACACGUGGUAUCCUGUCUGAAUAUGGGGGGACCAUCCUCCAAGGCUAAAUACUCCUGACUGACCGAUAGUGAACCAGUACCGUGAGGGAAAGGCGAAAAGAACCCCGGCGAGGGGAGUGAAAAAGAACCUGAAACCGUGUACGUACAAGCAGUGGGAGCACGCUUCGGCGUGUGACUGCGUACCUUUUGUAUAAUGGGUCAGCGACUUAUAUUCUGUAGCAAGGUUAACCGAAUAGGGGAGCCGAAGGGAAACCGAGUCUUAACUGGGCGUUAAGUUGCAGGGUAUAGACCCGAAACCCGGUGAUCUAGCCAUGGGCAGGUUGAAGGUUGGGUAACACUAACUGGAGGACCGAACCGACUAAUGUUGAAAAAUUAGCGGAUGACUUGUGGCUGGGGGUGAAAGGCCAAUCAAACCGGGAGAUAGCUGGUUCUCCCCGAAAGCUAUUUAGGUAGCGCCUCGUGAAUUCAUCUCCGGGGGUAGAGCACUGUUUCGGCAAGGGGGUCAUCCCGACUUACCAACCCGAUGCAAACUGCGAAUACCGGAGAAUGUUAUCACGGGAGACACACGGCGGGUGCUAACGUCCGUCGUGAAGAGGGAAACAACCCAGACCGCCAGCUAAGGUCCCAAAGUCAUGGUUAAGUGGGAAACGAUGUGGGAAGGCCCAGACAGCCAGGAUGUUGGCUUAGAAGCAGCCAUCAUUUAAAGAAAGCGUAAUAGCUCACUGGUCGAGUCGGCCUGCGCGGAAGAUGUAACGGGGCUAAACCAUGCACCGAAGCUGCGGCAGCGACGCUUAUGCGUUGUUGGGUAGGGGAGCGUUCUGUAAGCCUGUGAAGGUGUGCUGUGAGGCAUGCUGGAGGUAUCAGAAGUGCGAAUGCUGACAUAAGUAACGAUAAAGCGGGUGAAAAGCCCGCUCGCCGGAAGACCAAGGGUUCCUGUCCAACGUUAAUCGGGGCAGGGUGAGUCGACCCCUAAGGCGAGGCCGAAAGGCGUAGUCGAUGGGAAACAGGUUAAUAUUCCUGUACUUGGUGUUACUGCGAAGGGGGGACGGAGAAGGCUAUGUUGGCCGGGCGACGGUUGUCUCGGUUUAAGCGUGUAGGCUGGUUUUCCAGGCAAAUCCGGAAAAUCAAGGCUGAGGCGUGAUGACGAGGCACUACGGUGCUGAAGCAACAAAUGCCCUGCUUCCAGGAAAAGCCUCUAAGCAUCAGGUAACAUCAAAUCGUACCCCAAACCGACACAGGUGGUCAGGUAGAGAAUACCAAGGCGCUUGAGAGAACUCGGGUGAAGGAACUAGGCAAAAUGGUGCCGUAACUUCGGGAGAAGGCACGCUGAUAUGUAGGUGAAGUCCCUCGCGGAUGGAGCUGAAAUCAGUCGAAGAUACCAGCUGGCUGCAACUGUUUAUUAAAAACACAGCACUGUGCAAACACGAAAGUGGACGUAUACGGUGUGACGCCUGCCCGGUGCCGGAAGGUUAAUUGAUGGGGUCAGCGCAAGCGAAGCUCUUGAUCGAAGCCCCGGUAAACGGCGGCCGUAACUAUAACGGUCCUAAGGUAGCGAAAUUCCUUGUCGGGUAAGUUCCGACCUGCACGAAUGGCGUAAUGAUGGCCAGGCUGUCUCCACCCGAGACUCAGUGAAAUUGAACUCGCUGUGAAGAUGCAGUGUACCCGCGGCAAGACGGAAAGACCCCGUGAACCUUUACUAUAGCUUGACACUGAACAUUGAGCCUUGAUGUGUAGGAUAGGUGGGAGGCUUUGAAGUGUGGACGCCAGUCUGCAUGGAGCCGACCUUGAAAUACCACCCUUUAAUGUUUGAUGUUCUAACGUUGACCCGUGAUCCGGGUUGCGGACAGUGUCUGGUGGGUAGUUUGACUGGGGCGGUCUCCUCCUAAAGAGUAACGGAGGAGCACGAAGGUUGGCUAAUCCUGGUCGGACAUCAGGAGGUUAGUGCAAUGGCAUAAGCCAGCUUGACUGCGAGCGUGACGGCGCGAGCAGGUGCGAAAGCAGGUCAUAGUGAUCCGGUGGUUCUGAAUGGAAGGGCCAUCGCUCAACGGAUAAAAGGUACUCCGGGGAUAACAGGCUGAUACCGCCCAAGAGUUCAUAUCGACGGCGGUGUUUGGCACCUCGAUGUCGGCUCAUCACAUCCUGGGGCUGAAGUAGGUCCCAAGGGUAUGGCUGUUCGCCAUUUAAAGUGGUACGCGAGCUGGGUUUAGAACGUCGUGAGACAGUUCGGUCCCUAUCUGCCGUGGGCGCUGGAGAACUGAGGGGGGCUGCUCCUAGUACGAGAGGACCGGAGUGGACGCAUCACUGGUGUUCGGGUUGUCAUGCCAAUGGCACUGCCCGGUAGCUAAAUGCGGAAGAGAUAAGUGCUGAAAGCAUCUAAGCACGAAACUUGCCCCGAGAUGAGUUCUCCCUGACCCUUUAAGGGUCCUGAAGGAACGUUGAAGACGACGACGUUGAUAGGCCGGGUGUGUAAGCGCAGCGAUGCGUUGAGCUAACCGGUACUAAUGAACCGUGAGGCUUAACCUUACAACGCCGAAGCUGUU
rnacentral:rRNA from 1 species